CCCAGUGGACCGGAAGUGGUGAGGUGCGUCGAUGCGCUCAAACAGCUUAAGAAGUUUCCGAUUACUUAUGAUAUUUUGGUAUCUUCUCAGGUUGGGAAACGACUUCGACCUCUCACAAAGCAUCCUAGGGAGAAGGUCCAAACUUUGGUGUCUGACUUGCUCGAGAUUUGGAAAAAGAUAGUCAUUGAUGAGACCCGCAAAAAGAAAAAUGGUGCUGUUGAUAAUAAAAGUUCAGGGAAAGCUGAGAUUUCAAAGGUAGAGACUGUUAAAGUUGAGAAGGUUCAAAAAGCAGGCACAGUAAAGGUUGACAAGAUUGAUCGGGAAGAAACUAUCAAAGUUGAAAAGGUUUCCAACGAGGAUAAACAUGCUUCUAAUGUGAAGAGACCAUCAGAAGCCCCUAUUGCUCCAUCAAAGCUGACUACAUUGGUGAAAUGUAAUGAUGCUUUGCGUGACAAAGUUCGUGAACUUCUUGUGGAGGCCUUAUCCAAAGUUACUAGUGAGGUUGAUGAGGAUGCCAGGGAUGAAGUAAGUGCGUGUGACCCAAUCCGAAUUGCUGUAUCUGUUGAAUCAGCUAUGUUUGAAAAGAUGGGUCGGUCAAAUGGAGCUCAAAAGUUCAAGUACAGAUCCAUAAUGUUCAAUAUGAAGGACCCAAAUAACCCGGAUUUGAGGAAAAAGGUUCUGCUUGGAGAGGUCAAACCAGAGAGGCUUAUCUCAAUGACCUCUGAAGAAAUGGCAAGCGCACAGAGACAACAUGAAAAUAACCAAAUUAAAGAGAAAGCAUUAUUUGAUUGUGAGCGUGGUGGUCCACCAAAAGCUACAACUGAUCAGUUUAAGUGUGGUCGUUGUGGUCAGCGCAAGACCACUUACUAUCAGAUGCAGACUAGGAGUGCAGAUGAACCCAUGACCACAUAUGUAACAUGUGUAAACUGCAACAACCAUUGGAAAUUCUG
rnacentral:misc_RNA from 1 species